rnacentral:ncRNA from 1 species
CAGUCGACUUAGACAUGGUUCAGACAAGGGGAACCUGACUAUUUAAUUAAAACAAAGAAUUGUGAUGGUCCCUGCAGAUGCUAACGCAGUGUGAUUUUUGCCCAAUGCUCUGAAUGUUAAAGUGAAGAAAUUCAACCAAGCACGGGUAAACAGCGAGAGUAAAUAUGAGUCUUUUAAGGUAGCCAAAUGCCUCGUCAUCUAAUUUGUGAUGCACAUGAAUGGAUUAACUAGAUUCCCACUAUCCCUAUCUAUUGUCUAGUGAAACCACAACCAAGGGAAUGGGCUUGGCAUAAUCAAUAGGGAAAGAAGACCUUGUUGAGCUUGACUCUAGUAUGAAUUUGUGAAAUGACUUGAGAGGUGUAGAAAAAGUGGGAUUAAUUUCCGGCACAAAUGAAAUACAACUACUUUUAAUGUUAUUUUACUUAUUAUGUGGGGCAGAGAGGGGCAUUUACCCUAUUUUUGUCCUUAAGACACGUUUCAAUGGGUCGAUCUGGGCAAAAGACAUUGUCAAGUGGGGAUUUUGGAUGGGGUGACACAUCUGUUAAAAGAUAACAUAAAAUAUAAUUGGUCUAGAUAGAAAAUUUGUAUUUGGGAGAUCCUAGUGCACAACCACCCUUAUCACAUUUCCCUCCUAAUUUGUAGUUACAUCCAAUCAUUUCUAAACUGAAUCUAGUCUCCUCACUUGCACAAUAUGGAUAGAUGUGUAAACCCUACCCCCCAUUUUCUAGUACCCUGAGAUGGGACAUCCCUAACCAUGAACCAAAUGUUCCUAAGGCUUCCAAGGUUAUGUCUUCUAACUUAGAUUUCUUAGU